UCUCCUUCAACUUGUGCUGACAGUGUGGGAAUGGCUUUGCCAAUAUUGACACGAGUGACUGCUCUCGGCCCGGGGUUUCGCUGCCAGCCUACUCGUUGCUGACUUGUCAUUCGUCAGUUGCACGUGAACUCUACUCAUCUCCACCCAAUGACACCUCCUGCCCGUACCACCCCCGUCCUUCCUCUACAUCACUCUGGCUGAAUCUGGGUGCAUACUUUGGUAUAUAAAGGCGUUAACAAUUUGUGUUCCAAGGCAAACCUGACUACAGUGCCGCGCUGUGUGAUCCUCCACUAUUCAAGUAAAGUGUCAAAAGACUCCCAGCUGAGGGAAUGACCUCGUCUCCCAUGCUUGCUUGGUAUCUGCUAGUCCUCGCCCUGUCGUCUGCUGUCUGCGUCACUCACUCACUUCCCACACAAGACGUUAAAGACUUGAAUGACGUCAUCAUCAAUCAAGAUGACAACCAGUGUAAAGCCGACUUUGUGGAGAAAUUUGUCAGGUUAAUGUCUGGACCAUUUGGCACUGAAGCAGAGGCCCUCUUAGCAUCAGUGUUGAAACUUUUGUCGAAGAAUGACCGUGUUAGUUUUGCGGGAAUGGCAUUGUCUCAAAACGGUCUUUCCAAACUCACAGAUGAGAAAACUAGUUUUCCGCAGAAACGUUUGAAGCCUGAUUUCAAUCCAACCGGUUGGCGACGGAAGCGUGACGUUGGAAGAAGGAUGAAAGUACAACGAGCUCUGCGAGGCUUAUAUGACAUGCUAGAGAGCAACGCCGUGGUCAAUAUAGCGAGCCAGUCGUGGUUGAAGAGAGACAGGUCACAGGAUAGAGCCAUGUUCAAUCCCACUGGCUGGUGACAGCCAUAUUCUCUUAAUACGUUGUCCGCCAUUGCGUUAGAUGAUAUGUGGUAAUAAAAAAUGCAAGGUC